GCACCCACAAGGUGCUAGCAAUACUCCACAGCUGUGAUAAGCUGCAAAGAACCGCAGAAGUAUGCUCUCUAGUUGCCUGGUUUACCGGCAUUGCUUGGAACCUCGCUCUCAAGCCCGAGGUCGACCCGUACCUCCAGUUCCGCCUGUUCCAGAGCUGUGGCAGUGUGCUCUUGGCUGUACGGUCAGAAGCAACAAUGAAUGCAAAAGUAGACGCGCAGCUCGAAACCUACGCAACGAUGGCAGCCAUCUCCGGCAUCAGCGCUGCUCUCAGUGUUGACAGUGACCAAGUGAAGUUUGAUGUAUUAAGGGAUGUUCAAGCGAUUGCAUCUUGGCACAAGAACAGAUCGUCAGUUCUACAAAUAUCUAAGGGCUGUAAUUCGAC